rnacentral:rRNA from 1 species
GUGAACGCUGGCGGUAGGCCUAACACAUGCAAGUCGAACGGCAGCACAGUAAGAGCUUGCUCUUACGGGUGGCGAGUGGCGGACGGGUGAGGAAUACAUCGGAAUCUACUUUUUCGUGGGGGAUAACGUAGGGAAACUUACGCUAAUGCCGCAUACGACCUACGGGUGAAAGCCGGGGAUCUUCGGACCUUGCGCGAUUGAAUGAGCCGAUGUCGGAUUAGCUAGUUGGCGGGGUAAAGGCCCACCAAGGCGACGAUCCGUAGCUGGUCUGAGAGGAUGAUCAGCCACACUGGAACUGAGACACGGUCCAGACUCCUACGGGAGGCAGCAGUGGGGAAUAUUGGACAAUGGGCGCAAGCCUGAUCCAGCCAUACCGCGUGGGUGAAGAAGGCCUUCGGGUUGUAAAGCCCUUUUGUUGGGAAAGAAAAGCAGCAGGUUAAUACCCCGCUGUUCUGACGGUACCCAAAGAAUAAGCACCGGCUAACUUCGUG